CUUUUCUCCUGCUUUACAAAAAUGAUCCUGGGCUGAGACAGCUGCAUUCUUCUGGGAUACUCUGCACAAGCCAGGAUAAAAGCGUGCACAAACUGGAGACAGCGCAUUCUCAGACUUCUCAGAUUUCUUCAGCAUUGACGGCUGCUGACAAAAACGGCCUCUCAAAAUCUCCCUGGCAAAAAGGGGAGAAAAAAGGAUUCCCAGCUUUGAUGUGUUGUGUUAUGGCAGCUGUGUCCUUACGGCUCUGUACAGCGGUGCCUAGCAGUCCAGAGAACUUGCUAAAUGAAAACUCCCAUUCCGAAGGACUUACGAAGACUGAAGCAUGGAAGAUGUGCUAACCUCCU
ensembl:lncRNA